rnacentral:lncRNA from 1 species
UUAGAUCGAGCGGCGGCGCUCCUGAUCCGGUCGGGACAUGUAGGACGAUGGCGGCAGGGCUCCGGAAAGUGGGGAAGUCGCAGACGUCGGGGCGAGGCGGAUCAGGUCAAGAUCCAGUGCGGCGACCGGCGCUCCAUGGUCGUGGCGCCUCGGUCUCCUAGGAAGAAGAGACGUGGGAGAGAGAGGAGGUGAGAUGGGGAGAAGAGAAGGCAGAGUAAGGACAUCAAAGAUUUCGGUGGUGGCUCAGGUCGGCGGAUCCAGGUAUGUGUCCCGAUUCCUCUCCUCCCCGUAAAAAGCGUAUCUCGCGUCGUUGCUAACUGCUAGAGAUGCUGGUUCAUCCUGUGGCCAACAACAACCUCCAGGUCGCGUGAGAGUUCAGUGGCAUGGGCAUGCUCUCCCUAAUUGAUUUUGUAUCAGAGAUUUUGUUCUAGCUUGUGGGCAGCACCCAUGAGUGUUGGAAGUACACGUUCUAUAUACAUAACAGCUUCUCUGGUGACUUAGUCAUCUAAUGGUCAGAUACAAUUUUAGCAACAGUGAAUAGCCGCCCGAUAGUUUUGUUAUCUGCUUCUGAAUGUUCAUAAUGUGUAAAGCGGAUCAAUUUACUUGAGAAGUUGAAUCUGCAAAGUCUUGAGAACAUUGACUAUAUACUCCAACACUGCAGGCCAACUCUUGGUAGAUUUCUAAUGUGCUGCUGGCCACUGAAUUUUUUCUGUCGUGUAGCCGCUCCCCAUCUCAGCGUGUGCUAUCCAUGGAAGCCGGCUCCUCCACUCAAGCCCUCCUAUGCAACGCCGACGAGGAUGCUACUUCGUCUGAACCAAUCUUCACGACCACGUGCAGGUAUACACAUGUGCUCCCCUGCCACCCCUGCACUGAUUUAAGGCGAAAUCCAAUUGGGAGUUAUUGAUAGGCACCAAUGUAUUCUUGGUUCAGUUCCCCUGUCUUGUAUUACGUUGAUCCUUUUGGUAAGAUCAAACUGAACAUACUGAACAUCAUUUGCCCAAACAAGCUGAACGCCUUGUUACAUUGUUGCCCAAUUCUGUAAAAUUGAUCAUAGCACUCCUGCUAUCAUGUCAUGUUUGCUAAUACUUAUUGAGCUAUAAAACAAUGUUUUCUGUUUAUAAGCUAGCCCUUCUUAUUAUGUUUCAGAAGAUUAAUAGUACCCAUUACGUUACUAUAGUACAGUGUGAUAUGCAGAACCUGAGUUUUGGUUGCCAAGCAAAUGUUUGUGCUAAUUCCCACAAGAAAUUUGUGUUUGAAGAAUUAUUACUUUAUCAGGGAAAUAUCUUUUAUAUGGCUUCAUGAAAUCAAAUAUGACACUAGAUUUGCAGAAUGACUAAGCGGCAUAGGAAAUUGAUUUAGCACUACCUCAUUAAACAUGAAGACUUAUUCUUGAUUUUGUGUUGAUGUUUCAGAUGUAAUUUUUCUCAUAUGACAUCAGGGAUGUAGGUUGAUUGGGUGAACAAGCUUCCUGUGAAACAUCCAGAUCCCGGGGGCAGUGCCUCCGUUCAGCAUCCCACGUGGCGACAUCCUCCGACAUAAUGGAAAACACCGGCAGGGGAGAGAGCAGAGCAGGAGGGGUAUUGGGUCCAUACCAUUGUGGGCAUUGCAAGUGCCAUGAUUGUGGUUAUUACUCAUAGAAGAUUCUAUUCCUGUGAGCGGAUUAAACAAAGUUGAGUAAACAUCAUCCAUACGAGAUACAUGUGCUAAUUAAGUUUAGAGGAGAAAGUGGUUCUUUAUUCUUGUAAUUUUGGUGCAGAUGUCAUAUAGGGGCAGAGAACAAUGGUCUUUUGUGACAGCCUGUUAACUUUUUGGAGCUGCCAGGUAAAAUUUGGUACGAAUUUAUGUCAGUUCUACCUUUCCAUGAUGUUUAAUUGCUCGGUUCUUAAGGGUUUGUAAGAGGAGAUGGAUUUUGGACUACUCUAUUUCGGAUGCCAGUAACGCAAAUCUGCAGAUGAAAAAUAAAAGAGUGUGCAUGGUGUUUUUUCUUAUAGAAUACUUUUAUAUGCCUUGUUCUAUUUUGCUUCAGGUUUAGGACUAUUUGGUCUGCUACAUAAUCCAUGUUUUCAACUGCAAAAUUUUAGUUUUAUUAUUAUCAUAUUUACUAUUUCUCAGUAGUAAUACAUAACACGUCACUGGUGAAAAGCCUACUGGAAAGAUUAAUUACUCAAUAAUGUUGUCUUAAGAAUAGUAGUAUUUGGCUCAAAGUAUAGGCACUGUAAUUUUUUUGUGAAAAGUUCUAGGAAGUUUGGAGCAAGUGAUUGGCCUAUAAUCUAAUUCAUAUUCAGGCUUGCUGAGAAUUUUUUACUACGAGAUAAGUAGAUGAUCAUUUAACCCACAACGAAGAUAAAGUAGAUUAUGGUGACCGAACUGAGCACAUGCUGACUUAGUGCUUCGACCCUUCAUGUUUAUGAUUCACUAAUUCUAGUCCUUCCAUUACUAUUGAACUAAAUUCAAAGUUGUUUCUAUGUCAAUUCGGUUGCAUGCUUGCCAUAGUUUAUCUCCCUAUUUUGUGCCCUGUUGAUUAGCUAAUUGGCAUGAGAAAGAAACAUUAUGCAUCUACAUGUAUCUUAUCUCUCUGAAGUAAUAAAAUUGUAGUGAGAUGAAGUGCCCACAAAAUUGGCAUGUUUAAAUAUAAAAUUAUUUCCUUCAAUGAUGGAUGAGACCUUUUAGCUUAGCUGCCAUGUUUUUUGAAUCAUAUAUAUAUAUCAUAGAUUUGUGAAACGGACUUACAAUGCUUUAUGUUUUUGGUCCUAGACUUAUACACGGGCGUUCAUUUUGCAUCCAGCGAUGAAUAUCAUUUUUAUAUCAAAGGAGACUUUCUGAACAGAGGAACUAUGGUCUGUCAAAGAUGUCCUGCUUUUCUUUUGAGAAGCAGACAACCGAAUUUUUUUGAGGGGCAGGAAGAUUUUCUUUCGAGAAGUAUGAUAAGGAAGAUGAGUUCGUGCGUCCCUUCUGUCUAGGUCAAGUGAUUUGUUUGGGCCAAGCCGAAAUAAUUAAGAAAUAAAUAAACUAUCCCAACAAAACAACUAACCGUCUGUAACCCCUAAAAAAACUAACCAUCUAUAAAAAGUCAACACGGUAAAAUAUUUUUAAAAAUGGUCAGAGUUUUACAUGUGUUCACACUUUUCUUGGUUGCAAAAAAUACGUGCGGAAUUUUAAAAAGGUUAUAAAUUCCAAAAAAUAAUUACUAAAAAAAUUCCAUUUAGAAAUGUACAAAAAAAAUAAAACUUUUCAAAGAAAGCUCUUAAAAAUGUUCUUCUUCAAAGAAAUGCACAAAUUUUCAUAAAAAUAAUAACUGUUCUUAAAAAAGCAUUCCAGUUUUUAUGAAAAUGUUACCUUUUAUUAAAAAUAAGGAAAUUUCCGUGUUUUUUAGAAAAUAAAAAAAUGACAGACAAUCUAUUCCAAGAAAAACUAAUCUUCCAUAAAAAUAGAUGAAGAAUGCUAAGGUGGCUUCUUCACGUCUGAACGCACGGUCGUGCCCCUUUUUCGCCCGAUGCAACGCACGGGCAUUUGUACUAGUGAAUCAUACAUAUUUAGAGAGAAAUUUUUAUUGCUUGCAACAAUGACAACUUACUUGAAGGAUCUUAUUCAAUCCAUUGGUAUAUAUGGUGGACGCUCAUGGCAAAACUAGGUUUAAGGAUAUUUGGAAGCACAAGUAGUAUUUCUACUUGGUGCAAAGAAUUUGGCUAGCAUGAGAGGGAAAGGCAAGCUCAACAUGUUGGAUGAUCCAUGAAAAUAUGAUUUAUUUCAGAUGUAAGAAAACAUAACCCAUUACGUUGUCUUCCUUGUCCAACCUCAACCUUUUAGCAUGUCAUAUUUUAAUGAGUGCUCACAAUCAUAAAAGAUGUCCAAGAUAGUAUAUUUAUAUGUGAAAACCUCUCUUUCUUUAUUACUUCCUAUUAAUUACAACGAUGACCAAAACUAUGUUUGUGAACUCUCAACAACUUUUAUUCAUCAUACUCUUUAUAUGUGAAGUCAUUACUCUCCAUAAGAUCCAUAUGAUCUCUUUAUUUAUUUUUAUUCUUUCUCUUUUAUUUUUAUUUUUGUUCCCUCAAGAUCAUAGCAAGAUAAUCAGGCCCUUGACUCAUACAUAAUCUUUAUUAUAUAUAGCUCACGGACUCGAUUACAUAGAAGGAUCAUAAAGCAGAGCUCAAAACUAUAUCAUACUAAAACUUUAUUCUACUAGAUCAAAAUAUUACCAAAAGGAUUGAACUAAGAAAAAUGGUAAAGAUAAGAGUGUGAUGGUGAUACGAUACCGGGGCACUCCCCCAAGCUUGGGAGUAGCCAAGGGGAGUGGCCAUACCCGAUACUCAGUUCUUCUUUGUUGGUGAAGAAGGCGUUGGUGAUGAUGGAUAGUUGCACAUCGAGCGUAGGAGAUCCUCCAAUUAGCGGAUAAUGCCCUUGAGUGUGAUGAUAUGCUCCUUCAACAAAAUAUUUUCACUUGUGAGAUACUUGUUUCAAAUGCAAGCUAACUCAAUCGUCUUGAAAGCUCAAUCUCCAUUGGGGUAAAGAGAUUGUGAUGAGGUUGAAGGAAGUCUCGUCUACUACUACCGGAACUUAAUUCCCCAUGGCCUUCUUGAUCCCAUCAUCCUUGGUGAUCUCUAUGGGAUCUUCUCUCUUCAGCUCUAUCUUCAUUAGCCAAGCAUCGUUGCCCUCAUUGUUGGAGGAGGGAGACGACAUGUUGCCUGACCUUGACAACCCUGACAGAAAAUAGCUCGAAACAAAAACAAGAGAUAUUUGCGUGGUACGGUGAUCAAAACCUUCGGUAGAUUAUAUAAUGAAUUUUUACUGACCAAAAGAAGUAUCGUGCAAGAAAACAGAGUCCGGAGAGCACAUGAGGUGCCCACGAGGUAGGGGGCGCGCCCUCCACCCUCGUGGAAGCCUCGUGUCCUUCCCGAACUGCUUCUUAUUUUCCUAUUUUCUUAAAUAUCCCAAAACGGAGAAAAAAAAUGCUAUUAGAACUGUUUUGGAGUCGGCUUACUUACCGCAUCUCAUACCUAUUCCUUUUCGGAGUCUGAAACGUUCUGGAAAGUGUCCCUUAUUUAUUCCUCCGGGGUUACGGUUUCAAUAAUAUUAGUUUCAACAUUUAUGGGAUUACCUGAGAUAUAAUGUUUGAUUCUUUGACCAUUCACCACCCUUGGAUUUGUGCCUUCGAAGUUGUUGAUUUUUAUGGCACCAGAACGGUAGAGCUCCUCGAUAACGUAAGGGCCUUCCCAUUCAGAGAGGAUUUUUCCUGCAAAAAUUCUUAAACGAGAGUUGUAUAACAAUACAUAAUCACCUACAUUAAACUCACAUUUUUGUAUCCUUUUAUCAUGCCAUCUUUUAACUUUUUCUUUAAACAGUUUGGCAUUCUCAUAGGCCUGGGUUCUCCAUUCAUCAAGUGAGCUAAUGUCAAAAAGCCUCUUCUCAC